UUUAUUGACAAAAUAAUGGGCAGUAAGAGAAGUACUGGACUCAAACUGCUACAUGUUGCAACAGUGUGGAAAGAUCAACAGAAAAGGAGGUACCCCAGUCUUCAUCUCAUGGCCCUUGGAUAGAAACCUUAAAUAAAAUAUCCCAGUUACUAGCAUACAUAUGGUUGCGCAAUGAAAGAAUGAAAACAGAAUGUAAGGAUUUAGAGCUACCCUGCCUAUAUUUCCCAUCUCAAGUUUCCAAUAUGUUUUUUUAAAAACAAUUGAGGAUGCUACUGAACUUCUAUUUGAGUAUUUUUUAAUUAGAAAAUUACUAUAUUAAAUUCAGUGUCUGUUUACUAUUGAAUGCAAAACAAGAUUCUUAGACAAUUCUCAUAUAAAUCCUUUUUAGGAAAUAAUGAUAUUUUAUUAACCAAAAUUUGUCUCAGGAUAUCAACAUUACUUUAUACUCUGACAAACCAUUUUAUUGUAUGAUUUAAGACAAAUAUAUACUGGCCAUGUUUUCUGCCGUAUUAACUAUAUUGUGAAAUACAAAACAAUGUAGUUUCUACAGAUUCCUACUGCAUUCUUGAAAUGGAUAUGAAAAUCAAGGUGUCUAAGUCCUUCAGAUUGCUGAGGCUUCAACUAAGAAGCCUUAUACAAGUAUUUCAAGUGUCAUCAGAUUCCUAAGGAUGUGUGUGAUGGUUUAUAUAUGCUUGGCCCAGGGAGUGGCACGAUUUGGAGGUGUGGCCUUAUUGGAGUAAGUGUCACUGUGGGCAUGAUCUUCAAUGCCCUCAUCCUAACUGCCUGGGAGUCAGUCCUUUCCUAGCAGCCUCUAGAUGAAGAUGUAGAACUCUCAACUCCUGCACCAUGCUUGUUUGGACUCUGCCAUGCUUCAACCUUGAUGAUAAUGGACUGAAGCCCCAAUUAAAGGUUAUUCUUAUAAGGGUUGCCAUGGUGAUAUUGUCUGUUCACAGCAAUAACAUUAAUGUGACUUAAGAACUGCUCUGAAUACAGAAGUGGAUGCUCACAGUCAUCUAUUGGAUGAAGUACAGGGCCCCUAAUGAAGGAGCUAGAGAAAGUACCCAAGGAGAUAAAGGGGUCUACAACCCUAUAGGAGGAACAACAAUAUGAACUAACCAGUACCUCUCCUGUCCCGCACCCCCUGGAGCUGUGUCUCUAGUUGCAUAUGUAGCAGAGGAUGGCCUAGUAGGCCAUCAAUGGGAGGAGAGGCUCUUGGUAUUGCGAAGAUCAUAUGCCCCAGUACAGGAAAAUACCAGGGCCAGGAAGUGGGAGUGUGUGGGUUGGGGAGCAGGGCAAGGGGAGUAUAUAAAGGGCUUUGGAGAUAGCAUUUGAAAUGUAAAUGAAGAAAAUAUCUAAUAAAAAUGCCUUAAUAAAAAUGAACUGUUCUAAAGAACAGCCUCAUGAUAACAUAUUUGUAAACUGUAUUUUAAUUAAUGUAUUUCCUUUGCAAUUCUAUACAAAUGAAGUUUGGUCUUGGUUUUGUUAUAGUUAAGGGAAUUCAGAGUAUCAGAUGGGGAUUAUUUUUGCCAACAAUGUGGUUGAUGCUGCUAAUGUUCACUCUCCUAAAAGAGUUCUUCUGUGUGGAAGACAAUUUUGAGUGGAUGUGGUAAAAGGCUUUGGAACAAAAAAAAUUAGUACUAUUUCUCAGUAAAUAUGACCAUUUAUAUAAUCAUGGUAAACAUUGUAUAUCAAUUUGUAUUUAACUAUUCUUACAUUCUCUUCAUAACAUUACCAUUCUAUAUUGCAAAUUAUCCUGGAAUUUUAUAAGACUGUGAAAUAAAACUUCAACAAUUAUUUGCUAUUUUGUUUCCCCAGAAAACAAAACUCUGGAACUUCAAAGUACAGUAUCAUAUUUAUGCUAUUUGCUGUAGCAGUGAACAACUCUGAUCACAUCUCUCAAAAUCACUAUUACUAUUCUUAGUGGAGCACUCUAAGAGCUGGUCAUAAAGAUAUAAAUGAUACCAUAUGGCCUAAGAACAGGCGCUUUUGUGGAGUUCUGGUAUUGUGUGUAAGAGAAGUGAACUAAUGAUAAAAUCACGGCGAUAUUACUUCUUUCUCCCAACAAUAUUUUCAAUAGUAAUCCAGGCUAUAAAUGUAAUAGCAGGUCUAACACUACUGACAAUAUUAAAUUGAAAUGGCAAAUUGCAAUGCUAGGAAAAUUGUUAUCAGAGGGAUUGAUCUACAGUGGUACUAAUAUCUCAAGCUCCCAAAUAAAUGUUCAAUAACAUGAUGCUUCACUAUUGUGCAAGCUUUGUGAUAAUGAUUUACCCAAGAUAUAGUACUUUAAAACCUCUAGCUAUCUUUCAUAUAUUAGGGCAAAAGCGAGAAAUAAAAUGAAAAUCCAU
ensembl:processed_transcript